rnacentral:lncRNA from 1 species
UGGGGUUCACAAGAUGUGGGGCAUCACUGUUAAGGGAAAAGGCUGCACCCAAGCUCAGGUUCCCAUGGGACUGGCGCCUUCUUCAUCACAGGAGUGGAGAUUUUUAACAUUCCAUGGACAGCUGGCAUUUCCAGACAACUCCUGUAAACCAUUGGCACUCCAAAUCCAACUGCCUGUUGCUCAGCAUCUUGUGUAUUCCCCCAUUGACGAGACUUCUUCAAGCUUGCCCUAUAGAAAGGGAGACUAGGAGGAGGACGUGCUCUUCUGAAACCGAACAGUGUUGUGGGCCUUGGCUCACCUCUCCAUGGGAUAACAUGAGGAUGGUACCUUCUUUUUUCCUGGCCCUGUAAAUUUGUAUUUCCUCCAGUGAAGCUCAUUCCUUAGCCCAUGCUAUGUAGCUUUGUGGAUUCACCCUGAAGGGUGGUGUAUGACAGCUGAUGACCCAGAAGACCCAUCUUGCAUGCCAAUGGAGACCUAGCACAACAGCUCCUAAUUGAUCUCCCUGCAUCCAUGUUGAUUCUCUUCAAUUGUAGUCUUCAUCUUGCGGCUAGAAUGGGCCUGUCUAAACAGACUUGCCCACCUUCCUCCCACAACCCAAUUGAAAACACAAUAGCUCCCCAUUGGUCUUAAGACAUACCAAAAUACCCAAAUCUUUAAUAUGGUUUAAUGAAACCUUACUUCCCACCAUUCGUCCCUCUCUAGACUGCGGCCAUUUUCUCAGUCACUUGUAGUAACCGCAUUUCCUCCUGCCCUUGAGCAUGUCCUGUUCCCUUUGUCUGAAAGACCUUGCUUUGCUUAAUUAACUCCAGCUCCUAGUCAUGUUCCCAAAACACUAAACUCAGUUGAAAUUUUACAUUUUAUCUGUAUGAUUAUUUGGUAACUGUUUUCCACGCUAGACUGUAAGAUCCACAGAUCUCUUUUAAACCAGUAGCCUAGUUUAUAUUCAAAGUGCCUAGCAUAAAGUGGGUGCUUAAUGAAAUUAGUUGAACACAUUUUUAGGUAUAAUGUAGAAAGAAGCCAGGAUCCAAAUACCACAUACUCUAUAAUUAAAUAAAAUGUCUGGAGAAGGCAAAUCUACAAAGACCGAAAGAUGAUGGUGGUUGCCAGGGGCUAAGGUUGGCAACAGAGUGCUUAUAAACUGGCAUGAGGAAUUUUAUUGAGGUUAUGGAAAUGUUCUAAAACUGCACAACUCAGUAAAUUUACUAAAAAUCAUUGUAUUGUACAUUUUAAAUGGGUGACUUUUAUGGUAUGUAAAUUAUACUUCAAAAGUGUUUAAAAAUAAAAACUUGACUGAAUGAAAAAA